CUGGGACACUAUCCUGUCCGACCCUCUCAAGCUACUAAAAUCCACCUCUCACGUUGAAAAACACCGUAAAAUGUUUAUACCGUUGGUACUUAGUGCCAACCAGACUGCACAAGAUCUUUCCCUCCACCUCACCACUUUGCUGGAGAUGCCAUGCAGCAGAGGGCUCAAUGCACCAUAUGGAGCUGCCCACGCUACAUCCUUAUUGGACUGAAGUACAUGCACUGAUCCGAGAAGCCAC